UAGCCUCAGUCAAAUUUAUUGCGCAAAGGAACUAAUACGUUUCAUUUUCGUAUUAUUAUGUUGCAAUUUUAUAGCAUGGUGAAUAAAUUAAAAUCGAUUCAAAACACCAAAAUUGGUUACUAUAUAAAAUGGGGCGCAAUAAAAUGUUAAGUAUUGAAGAAAUUAAUAAAAUUAAUUUUUUACUUAAUCAAAAUUUAUCUCAUCAUGAAAUCGCUGGAAGAGUGAAUAGAAGUGCUAAAGUUAUUAAUAAUUUCGUGAAAAACAAUGAAAACUACGGAAAAAAUUAUAAAGGUCGAACGAAAUUCGCGACAACGCCAAGGGAACGUCGAAUGAUAAUUUGCGCGGCAUCUAAUUCCAUUAAGACUGUGAGGCAAAUAGCGGAAGAAGUUGGAACAGCAGCAUCUAUUUCAACUGUAACAAGAGUGAUAAUACGGGCAAAGCAUCGAAAGAGAAUGAGAUUGAAGAAAAAAUCGGCUUUGAAUCAAAAACACAUCAGCACGACUUUUAUUUGUAAAAGAACAUAUGAGUUGGAUAGAUAAAUGGCUACAAGUAAUUUUUUCAGAUGGAAUAAAAUUGAAUUUAGAUGUGCCUGAUAAAUGUAACUAUUACUUUUAUGAUUUGCGGAAGGAACAAAAAAUUUUGAUUAAGAAUCAGAUAUUGAAAAAAAUAGACGUCUUCUUCAUCUCCAGCAUCGCUCGAGUAUUCAAAGUUGAUAUCGUUUUAAAUCGUCAAAAACGACAACAAUUUCCAAAAUGUUCAAAGUAUUGAUAUUCUCACUUUUGAUAAUCGCAUUUGUAGCAACUGUUAAUGCAAUUCCGGAUUGUACAGGAAAAUGGUGUCACCCGAGUAAGGGUUACGACUGCUGCUUCGGUUAUGUCUGUUCAUCCGUUUUCUGGCAAGGUUCCUGCAAGGUUGCUUUUCCAUGAUACCAGUUUUUUUCUGAUAUCAAGAAAAUUAUGUGGGAUCAAUAACUUAACAAAUAUACCCGUAAAAAGUUUUGCAAAAUAACUGAUAUUUUUUUAACAAUUUUACUAAGCGUUUAAAUCUCUGUAACUUUUCAAGAAUUGAUUUUAUAGAAUUUUUCAAUCACACCAAAUAUAUAGAAAUGUUUAUUCCCUACAACUUUGAUAUCCGUAAUAAAUGCGGUAAAACUGAUAAUUUGAAAGAUAUGGGCAUUUGAAGUUAUUGAAAACCAAUACAAUAUUUUUUAUAUAAUUGA